GACAGAGGUGGCAAGCGUUGUUCGGAAUCACUGGGCUUAAAGGGCGCGUAGGCGGCAGGGUAAGUCUAAUGUGGAAUCUUGGGGGCUCAACCCCAAACUAGCAUUGGUAAACUAGCUUUGUCUUGAGUCAGUAAGGGGAGGGCGGAAUUCCUGGUGUAGCAGUGAAAUGCGUAGAUAUCAGGAGGAAGGCCGGUGGCGAAGGCGGCCCUCUGGUGCUUGACUGACGCUGAGGCGCGAAAGCGU
rnacentral:rRNA from 1 species